rnacentral:rRNA from 1 species
AGUGGGGAAUAUUGGACAAUGGGCGAAAGCCUGAUCCAGCCAUGCCGCGUGUGUGAAGAAGGCCUUUUGGUUGUAAAGCACUUUAAGUGGGGAGGAGGCUACCAAGAUUAAUACUCUUGGAUAGUGGACGUUACCCACAGAAUAAGCACCGGCUAACUCUGUGCCAGCAGCCGCGGUAAUACAGAGGGUGCGAGCGUUAAUCGGAUUUACUGGGCGUAAAGCGUGCGUAGGCGGCUUUUUAAGUCGGAUGUGAAAUCCCUGAGCUUAACUUAGGAAUUGCAUUCGAUACUGGGAAGCUAGAGUAUGGGAGAGGAUGGUAGAAUUCCAGGUGUAGCGGUGAAAUGCGUAGAGAUCUGGAGGAAUACCGAUGGCGAAGGCAGCCAUCUGGCCUAAUACUGACGCUGAGGUACGAAAGCAUGGGGAGCAAA